CGGCGGACGGGUGAGUAACACGUGGGUAACCUGCCUGUAAGACUGGGAUAACUCCGGGAAAACCGGAGCUAAUACCGGAUAGUUCCUCGAACCGCAUGGUUCAAGGAUGAAAGACGGUUUCGGCUGUCACUUACAGAUGGACCCGCGGCGCAUUAGCUAGUUGGUGGGGUAAUGGCUCACCAAGGCGACGAUGCGUAGCCGACCUGAGAGGGUGAUCGGCCACACUGGGACUGAGACACGGCCCAGACUCCUACGGGAGGCAGCAGUAGGGAAUCUUCCGCAAUGGACGAAAGUCUGACGGAGCAACGCCGCGUGAGUGAUGAAGGUUUUCGGAUCGUAAAGCUCUGUUGUUAGGGAAGAACAAGUGCGAGAGUAACUGCUCGCACCUUGACGGUACCUAACCAGAAAGCCACGGCUAACUACGUGCCAGCAGCCGCGGUAAUACGUAGGUGGCAAGCGUUGUCCGGAAUUAUUGGGCGUAAAGGGCUCGCAGGCGGUUUCUUAAGUCUGAUGUGAAAGCCCCCGGCUCACCCGGGGAGGGUCAUUGGAAACUGGGAAACUUGAGUGCAGAAGAGGAGAGUGGAAUUCCACGUGUAGCGGUGAAAUGCGUAGAGAUGUGGAGGAACACCAGUGGCGAAGGCGACUCUCUGGUCUGUAACUGACGCUGAGGAGCGAAAGCGUGGGGAGCGAACAGGAUUAGAUACUCUGGUAGUCCACGCCGUAAACGAUGAGUGCUAAGUGUUAGGGGGUUUCCGCCCCUUAGUGCUGCAGCUAACGCAUUAAGCACUCCGCCUGGGGAGUACGGUCGCAAGACUGAAACUCAAAGGAAUUGACGGGGGCCCGCACAAGCGGUGGAGCAUGUGGUUUAAUUCGAAGCAACGCGAAGAACCUUACCAGGUCUUGACAUCCUCUGACAACCCUAGAGAUAGGGCUUUCCCUUCGGGGACAGAGUGACAGGUGGUGCAUGGUUGUCGUCAGCUCGUGUCGUGAGAUGUUGGGUUAAGUCCCGCAACGAGCGCAACCCUUGAUCUUAGUUGCCAGCAUUCAGUUGGGCACUCUAAGGUGACUGCCGGUGACAAACCGGAGGAAGGUGGGGAUGACGUCAAAUCAUCAUGCCCCUUAUGACCUGGGCUACACACGUGCUACAAUGGACAGAACAAAGGGCUGCAAGACCGCAAGGUUUAGCCAAUCCCAUAAAUCUGUUCUCAGUUCGGAUCGCAGUCUGCAAACUCGACUGCGUGAAGCUGGAAUCGCUAGUAAUCGCGGAUCAGCAUGCCGCGGUGAAAUACGUUCCCGGGCCUUGUACACACCGCCCGUCA
rnacentral:rRNA from 1 species